rnacentral:rRNA from 1 species
CCUACGGGUGGCAGCAGUGAGGAAUAUUGGUCAAUGGGCGCGAGCCUGAACCAGCCAAGUAGCGUGAAGGAUGCCUGCCCUACGGGUUGUACACUUCUUUUAUAAAGGAAUCAAGUGAGGCACGUGUGCCUUUUUGUAUGUCCUUUAUUAAUAAGGAUCGGCUAACUCCGUGCCAGCAGCCGCGGUAAUACGGAGGAUCCGAGCGUUAUCCGACUUUAUUGGGUUUAAAGGGAUCGUAAAUGGGUUGUUAAGUCAGUUGUGAAAUUUUGCGUCUCAAACGUAAAAUUGCAAUUGAUACUGGCAGUCUUGAGUACAGUUGAGGUAGGCGGAAUUCGUGGUGUAGCGGUGAAAUGCUUAGAUAUCACGAAGAACUCCGAUUGCGAAGGCAGCUUACUAAACUGCCACUGACAUUGAUGCUCGAAAGUGUGGGUAUCAAACAGGAUUAGAUACCCCAGUAGUC